rnacentral:rRNA from 1 species
ACACUCCUACGGGAGGCAGCAGUGGGGAAUUUUGGACAAUGGGCGAAAGCCUGAUCCAGCAAUGCCGCGUGCAGGAUGAAGGCCUUCGGGUUGUAAACUGCUUUUGUACGGAACGAAAAAGCUCCUUCUAAUACAGGGGGCCCAUGACGGUACCGUAAGAAUAAGCACCGGCUAGCUACGUGCCAGCAGCCGCGGUAAUACGUAGGGUGCGAGCGUUAAUCGGAAUUACUGGGCGUAAAGCGUGCGCAGGCGGUUAUGUAAGACAGAUGUGAAAUCCCCGGGCUCAACCUGGGAACUGCAUUUGUGACUGCAUGGCGAGAGUACGGUAGAGUGGGAUGGAAUUCCGCGUGUAGCAGUGAAAUGCGUAGAUAUGCGGAGGAACACCGAUGGCGAAGGCAAUCCCCUGGACCUGUACUGACGCUCAUGCACGAAAGCGUGGGGAGCAAACAGGAUUAGAUACCCGAGUAGUCCCAUGAU